GAAUAAGGACUCGAAGGUGACCUGCGGAGGGAUCAUU
rnacentral:rRNA from 1 species